GGUGCAGUGGCGCAGUGUGUUAAUGCCCUGGCCUGAAGUGCCGGCAUCCCAUAUGGGCUCCGGUUCAAGUCCUGGCUGCUCCA
rnacentral:tRNA from 1 species